rnacentral:rRNA from 1 species
GCCCUUCCUACGGGAGGCAGCAGUGGGGAAUAUUGCACAAUGGAGGAAACUCUGAUGCAGCAACGCCGCGUGGAGGAUGACGCAUUUCGGUGUGUAAACUCCUUUUAUAAGGGAAGAUAAUGACGGUACCUUAUGAAUAAGCACCGGCUAACUCCGUGCCAGCAGCCGCCGUAAUACGGAGGGUGCAAGCGUUACUCGGAAUCACUGGGCGUAAAGGAUGCGUAGGCUGGAAAUCAAGUCGAGAGUGAAAUCCAACGGCUCAACCGUUGAACUGCUCUCGAAACUGGUUACCUAGAAUAUGGGAGAGGUAGAUGGAAUUGGUGGUGUAGGGGUAAAAUCCGUAGAUAUCACCAGGAAUACCGAUUGCGAAGGCGAUCUACUGGAACAUUAUUGACGCUGAGGCAUGAAAGCGUGGGGAGCAAACAGGAUUAGAUACCCUGGUAGUCCACGCCCUAAACGAUGCACACUAGUUGUUGCGAUGCUAGUCAUUGCAGUAAUGCACAUAACAGAUUAGGUGUGCCGCCUGGGGAGUACGGUCGCAAGAUUAAAACUCAAAGGAAUUGACGGAAGGGC